GCAACUUAGAGCCAUUUUCUUCAUCUUAUCAUUUGGUGCUGGGGAGAAGAGACCAAUCCCCACCUUGCUACAGCUUCUUGUAAGGUAAUUGUAGAACAUGAUAAUGUCUCCCUUGAGCCUUCUUUUCUCCAGGCUAAACAAUGCCAGCUUCCUCAGCUGCUCCUCCUAAAAUUUGUUCUCUAGACCCCUCACCAGCAUCAUUGCCCUUCUUUAGACAUGCUGCUGCAUCUCCAUAUCCUUCUUGUAGUGAGGGACCCAAAACUGAACACAGUAUUUGAGGUGCAGCCUCACCAGAGCUGAGUACAGAGGGACAAUCACUUCCCUAGCCCUGCUGGCCACACUAUUUCUGACAGCAGGAGCUGUAUUGGUCCUGACCAGAAGACCAUCCUGCAUCAAGGAAUCUGUGAUGAAGUUAACCUGAGUAUGCACAGACCUGUGCUGUGCAGUGCUGUGCUGCACAUCCACAGUGGAUUCCCAGCUGUGCUGUGCUGCACACACCCCACGGCCAUGGCACUAAUUUCACCAGCUACAUGUACCGGAGGAGCCUGCAGCCUGCUCUCACUGGGUGCUGGUGACAGAGCCUUGUCCUUAACAGGACAACAAGAAGUUCUCAGCAGAAGGCCCCUCUGUUUCAACAGAAGCAAUGAUGGAUAGAUGGGGUUCCCAGCAUCUAAUGGGAUGCAAGAUCACCUGUGCUACUUUCUUAGUGUUAGCUCUAAUUAACAACACUCUGCAUGAUACCUUACAGUGUCUUCCCUCUGCAGUCUCAAUGGAGCAGCACCUCCUUGUGCAAAACAUAAACCCAAAUGAGUAUUACUAUUAGGAGCUAAGAACUGCAACCAGUAAUAAAAUGAGAACAAAGUAAAGCUAAAACCUUUGCAGUCAAGAAUAAUGAACAUAAUCUUCAGCCUGCAAGAGAGUACAUUUGCAUUUGGUGUAAAUGAUGUCAGGCAGCACCAGAAGAUUUGACAGUCAAUGUAAUUAAAUCUCUUUUACAGGGAAUCCUAGGGCUUUUUGACCCUGGUGGAAAGUUAAGUUUCUACCUUACAUUAAAAACAAAAAAAUAAAUAAAAAAUCGAGCAACAGUUUAGGAAAAUCUUUUUUUUUUUUUUUUUUUUUUUUUUUUUUCCCAUCUAGUUAUUAACUUACAUAGGUAAGAUGUAAAUAUUACUCUGAAUCAAGGCCAUCCACAUUGAAUUUGCCUAAACAAAGAAGGUUGAGAUAAUGCCAUGAAUAGAAGAGUGCUGAACAGGAUGCUCAUUUCCUUCUGAAAGUUGAAAGAAAGGAAGUUAAAGCAGCACACAUCAUUCAUCACCUUAAAAAACGAGACAGAACUCUUUCCCCUACAUGCAAUCAUAUCCUAGUGUUUCCCUGCAAUACAUCACAACCUUGCCUAAAUCAUAGCAGGAAGCCAUCUAGUAACUGUCAUAUAACAUAUUUUUAUCUAGAUUUUGUAGGCAAGUCUUUAGGCCUAGAUGUAUUACAAAUUGAGUUUUUAGGCUUAUUAUUACCAGACAGUGAGGGUUGUUUUCUUUUCUCUAGGAGUCCACACCCUGCUUACUAUAGUGACUUAUGAGAUACUGUAAUCCAGACAUUUUGUCAUGAGUAGUACUGUCACUACAAGUAUUAUUAGAAAAUGUUUCAAACACUUCAUACACACUAAACAGAGAACAAACUACAUUAUGUGCUUAUACUGCAAGCAAGUCAUCUUAGGGCCGCAAAAAUGACCAGAGUGCUGGAACAGCUCUCAUAUGAAGAGAUGGAAAGACUUGAGCUUUUUCAGCCUGGAGAAGAGAAGGUUUGAGGGAGACCUUACAGUGGCCUUCCAGUAUCUAAAGGAGGCCUACAGGAAAGCUGGGGAGGGACUCCUUGUCAGGGGAUGUAGUGAUAGGGCAAGAGGUUUAAACUAAAAUAGGGUAGGUUUAGAUUAGACAUUAGGAAGAACUUUUUCUCUUAGAGAGUGGUGAGGCACUGGCACAGGCUGCCCAGAGAAGCUGUGGAUGUCCCAUCCCUGUAGGUGCUCAAGGCCAGGCUGGAUGGGGCUUUGAACAGCCUGGCCUAGUGGGAGGUGUCCCUGCCCAUGGCAGGGGCAUUGGAAUCAGGCAAUAUUUAAGGUUUCUUUGUACCCAAACUAUUCUGUGAUUCCAUGAUUCUACAAUUACUCGAUGUAUCCUCAGCAACCAGAUGAUCUUAAGAUGUCAGACCAAUAUUGAUGAAUUAUGAGAGCACAAUACCAUCAUCAACAAAUGCAAGAGGUCUGACUGUCAGAAGCCCUUCCUUUAUAGGCAAGAAAAUGCAUUCUGCCAUAGCCAAGCAGGACAGGGACACAGUCAUGGUGAUGGGCAACACGUUGCUUGCCUUCUCAUCAGACCUGCAGGUAUCUGUCAGCCUCAGGCAGCUUUGGGUGUCCAGGCUGCUCCCCAGCACUUUGCCCUUCACCAGACUGGUGGCAGACACCUGGGGCCACUGGUGAAAACUGAUGAAACACGUGGAGACCUUGUCGCAUGGCAGCCCGAGGAGUGGCAAGUGGACAGGGAUGUCUGGCACCUACCAUGACUUGGCCAAGGGAGGUGUGUACUGGGGUGAGUGCUCAAGGUGCUCCCCUUUUUUUUUCCACUAUGAUGCUGCAUCUCCCUUGGUGUGAUGGUUAUGACCUACUGCCCCUGCCUCCACUCUGAAAAAAGAGACACAGCUUGCUGGACUUAAGAAUCAGAGAAUCUUAGCUAUCUUGAGAACUGCAGUAACUUUUGUAAUGGUUUGUGUUCAUGGGCAAUGGAAAAGGUUGACAGCAGCAGGGAUUGGUACAGCCAGCUACUGCUGGCAAACUGAUACACCAAGGGCAUAUUUUAUUUUACGUAUCGAAAUCUAACCUGUCUUCAUCUAGGCUAGUCACAUUUAGCAGUAGCAUUACCACAGAAAUAGCACAAUAUUUAUUUUCAGUCCUGUUACUACAUAUAGAGAAACACUAAAACCGCAGAAUAUUUCUUUAGCAAAGAAGUUAACUGUCAAGCGAGUAAGAGUGAAGGCUGGAGGCUGACUGAUUUUUAACAUAGCCAAAUAUAGCAUGUGCCUAACAGCAUCAGGCAAUCUUUAAAUUGAAGCCUUUUAGCUAACAGGACCCAGCUACCCCACCUCUAUUCUCCCACCACCAAAUAUUUUUAAACUCCUUUGUUUUGUCUUUGUCCCAGUCCUCUCCCAAGAUCAUAUAGCAUCACAUGUUGAGCAUUUGAAAAUGUAAUAGUUCAUUUUUCUCACUUUCACCUAAGCACAAUUAAUACUGUAUAAUGCCUUCAUUCACUGUAGUUCCUUAUGGAGCUAAUUUAAAAAAUCGUACACUGUUAGAUGAAAGCUUUUUAUAUACACUAUUAUCAUAAACUAAAUAAUCAAAUAGUGCUACUAUUUUCAUGGCAGAGAAGUGGAAGAGCCAGUAAAGUAAUGUAUAUAUGUGUUUAGUUAGCUGCAUACCUGUGUAAAAACACAGCAUUUAAAAAAAAAAAAAAAACAAAAAACAAAAAACAAAAAACCACGAAAAACCACACACACCACCACUUUUGUGAUAACAGAGGUUCCAUUACAUUGUACAGGACAUGGCUUUUCAAAUGCCAGUGAUCGUCACGUACAAAGCUGAAUGCUCAAAGCUUAAUAAGGACAUUUGUAGGUGAAUAUCCUGUUCACAGAGCAGACAUUGAAGUUUGCAUAUCAAGAGGAUUCACCUGCAUCAAUAUAAAAUAAAGCCUCUAUCAGCUCCAUCCCUGGGGAUUUACAUGUCUCCCCUGUAUCUGACACCUGGUUGGACUCAAGUAAUCGAUCAAUAGAUCAAGCAGCUCAGACUUGGGUAGAUUUACACAGCAACUGAGUGGUGGGCUUUCCUUCCGAGAUAGGUUGUGGAAAGAAACAGGCUGGAGUUUGGGGCACAUCCAACAACAAAGUGCCUGCACCGUGCUUCACUUGGGAACAUCAUCUGUGCAUCUAAGUCAGGGUUAGACUGAUGGUCCUCUGGAGAAACACUGUCCUGAAAACACCAGCAUGCCAAGUCUUUUUUCCCUUGUUUACUUUGAAUCAAGUGCAAUUGACUUUAGUCAAACACAUUUUCCUUGCACAACUCUCUGUUCUUCAUUUAUUAGCCUUGUGCUGAAUGCAGGAACAAGCUGUCUGGAACAAACUGCUCUCAGACACCGUCUCACCUGCCACCUCAUUAGGACUGCUGAGUCCACCUGACAUGCCAUUUUUGUUUCCAAAAGUCACAGUGACUGGCUAUAGUGCAUUGCACUGGCUUUAUGCCAGCCUGGUCUCCUAGAUGAUACUGUAGUGCAAGUUUUAAACUCACUUGCUUCAGCAGGGCUUCGGUUCUGCUUCUACUUCCUGCUUGUCUUUGCAAGGACAGGCUGGCAGCCUCAGAGAACACUACAUGGAUUAAUUUCAUCUUUUCACUGAGUUGUACAUUUGUUUUUUGCUGGCUCCCUCUCUCCUUCCAUCUGGUAAUAAAUGAUGGGAAGUCAGACCAGCAGUUGCAACACCUUUGGGAAGUUUGGUGCCUAUAAUUCAAGUCAUAUACAUUACUCACUUGUAAUUUGUUAUGAUGACUGAUGACUUGUUCAAAGACCUUCUAGGCUUACCACUGGAUCUUGUACUCAUAGAAGCAGACUGAACAGAGUAAGGAUUGCCCUCUUCUCCUCUGCUGGUACAUUAGGUAAUCGCAAUCUUAUUUAUAAAUCCUGGGUAAAGAAAGAUACCUGCAGAGGUGUCCUGCAGAGAUCAAUACCUCCACUGGCUCCAGCUGGCUAGCAGAACAGAAGGUGAGAGAACUCUUUGCAUUCUGCAGGGUUUGCUCAGUCCAUAAACAGAAAAUUAUUCAUAUUAAAAAACCAGGGGGCAGAACUGAACAUGAUGGCAGAAAAUGAUGAUGAGUGUUAUAGAACUAAUUAAAUUAAAAAUAAACAAAUCAAGGGCAUUCAUGAUGUGUAACUUUGUUAGCUAAAACCAAACUAGCAAUAAAUUUUUCUUAUUUCUAACUUAAUUAUUCCAUGACUUUGCACCUGCGAUUCUGUCAUCAGUAGAAAUUUCUAUGCAGCAAAAAACUGUCUUGAUAAAAGAAUGGUCAAAAAGAGCUCUGUAUUAAAUAUAUAUAUAUAUAUGUCAGUUUUCCUUGAGGUAGUUAACUUUCAUUUUCAUUUAGCACCUUUCAAGAUUUAUCCCAGAGUUCCCUUUCUUGAAAUCAAUCCCACGCUAAUUUUUUUGAACACAUUUUAAAAUAUUUUUUUUCCUAUUGGUGUUCUCAUUUUAAAUGGAAACAACCUCUGCAGAAAGUCCUGUGGUAUACUACUGAUUUACAUAUAUGCAGAAAAAAAUCUGUCCAAACAAAUUCCAACCUUUAACCUCAUUAAUGAAAGCUGAGAUACAACUGUGUUUCUUGGCUGGUCAGCUGGCUACUAAUUUGGUGCAGAGCAUAACACGUUUGUUUCAGGCUCACAGGAGUGCAGAGAUCAGAAAAGAAAGCCAAGAAUUGAUUUAUAUUUAUAUAUAUAUAUAUUUUAGAAGUUUACGGUAAUCAUGUGAGAUAACAUUUUGGAAAUGUAACGAACAAAACAACAGCAACAACAAAAAAAACGAUGUUUGGUAAGUUUCAGUUUGAUGCAAGCCCAGAUAUCAGGAAAUUCCAGUUCCACAGAUGCUCUACCAGCACCGGAAAGGUCAGUAAUUUUGUUUUAACUUCCCUGCCUUUGUAGUAGCUUUUUACAUUUAUUAACCAACAUUUACAUUUAUCUUUCUUAAGAGCAAUAGGAGAAUGCUAAGAAUACGUGUAUGUGUUCUUAGACACUUUAUUGAUCUGAUUUCUUGUGAAGCAAUUGCUGUCUUUCUAUGGUGAUUUUUUUUUUUUUCUUUAGGCCUAAAAUGAUAUAUAUUACUAUGGAAAAAUAAUUUGAUUUAAUGAUAAGCUCAGUCUCAGUACCAGACAUCUUUAAUAGAUUGCACCCCUUGUUUAGGCAAUUCAGUUAAUGUUUCUUGAAUGUUGCUGGCUGCAGGACAGUAACAGGGUACCUGGGUUUUUCCAGCUGUUAAAUUGCAAGUCACUGUAAUUUACUUUAUUGGCCUGAUUACAAGAUGAGUUUUUUCUGUAUACUAAAGGAAGAAAAUGGAGACACAUAUACAAAAGGUUAUUCUACAGUAGCACUGUACAACGUGGCAGACAGCCACAAAACAUCGGAUGACCUCCAGUUACCCAACCAUCUCCAUCUGCCUAGAAAGACACAGCCUGCCAGAAACAGCAGGAAAAGCAUGGAUGCUUCUCCAGAAGUCAAGCCAUUUUGGCAUCCUGCCAGAGUCAUCAGGCCGUGCUUGUUUCCAGCAUGACAUUGUGCUAAGCUAAUUCUGGGUGCUGCCUGGCAAACUUGCCACACGCUGCAAUUGUGAGUGCUUCAAGGAAGUGGGAUGAAAAAGGAUGGUAUCAUGGAAGUACACCGUACUCCACAGCGAGACGGCUCCACCAGAGUAGAUAACCCUCAGGAAACACACAUCACACAGAGCAGGAGGCUCUCACCAGUGUUUCUUGUCUGCUUUCAUGGCAUCAAUCGGCUUUGGAGGAAUGCAUCUUUCCUUCUAAAUAUGCUAAUAUUCAUAAGUACCCUGACCACAAGUACCACAUCUGAAACUCUAGCCCAGCCCUGUCAUGUCUGUAUCCAUCUGAAGGGAAUUUGUUGAAUGUAAAGAGUAUUCCAUCUCACUGCAUUUUGGUCCUAAAGUCACCUCUAUUCACUUUUAUCUGCAAGCGAUCAUUCCAAGCAAAACAAUUACAGGGACCUGACUAAUGACACCGACUUUCCUCCUCUCUAAAUAAAUAUGAGCAGGACUAAAACUGAAGAAAAAUAGCAGUUCUGUUGAAAAGUCCUGAUUGCAUACUCAUGGAAACUUUUAAGAGGCUAAUAAAUAAGACCAUCUGAGUGAAUGAGGCUUUUAUUCUCAGGUUGAUGCUGCAGUGGCUGAAACUGAUAUUCAGCCAAGUUAAUAUUAGGCACUUUUACUAGAACUGAACUCUCCUAUUAGGCAGUCACUAUGCCUAUUCUGAAGCAAAAGCUUCUGCUAAUUUGGGAUUAAUACUGCAUACUGAUCGGGUGUGAGGACAACGAAAGAGGAGUUCAAAAGCAAUUGUAUCUGCCAAUUUGAAAACAUACUUUCUAAGUUUGGUUAACAGAACAGCAAACAGAAGACAACAAAUCUCCGAAGAGAAAACUCUUUCACAUGUGUGGAAACAAUUGCACACCAAGGACUUCUGGAGGGAGGUUCCCAGAUAAGUAAGCCAGCUGAGGUUGCCUCUGUGCUAAUGAGCAGGAUGCAGUGCUCUCACUCUCCUGACACAGGCAAGCCAGGAGCCAAAGCGUGUGCCUUUUACAAUACUGCUGAUUUUUUAAAACUAAUUUAUGCUGCAUCAUAGCAUGAGGAUGGCAAUGCUUUGCCAGUACAUGGCACCUUUGCUCACAUAAUCUGCAUGAACCUUUUUACACUGGUUAGCAUAUAAAUAAAUAAAUAAAUCUUGUGUAACUUUGCAAAAUUCCCGAUCUACAUUGAUUUGUUCUGACACUACAUAAGCCAAGCCCCAAUUUACACCAAAGAACAAAAACACAGCUAUAACUUUCCAAAAUGUAUACAUCAAACUCCGUAUCUACAUUUAAAUUUUCACAUGUAUUCACUUAUAUUCAGGAACCUUCAAAAGGUUUAAGCUGACCAUUUCAGUACUAAUGAAAUCAAAUUCAUGACCGCUGUGGAAACAGAUGAAGCUUCAUUCAUUAUUUGGCCAACAUCACAAACAAGAAACAAAACCGAAAAUAUAACCAAUGUAAUACAGGAAGCAAAGCCCCAUAUUAGCAUUCAAACAGACAGAUGCUGCUCACCAGCAUAAGCAUUAACAUUUUAGGAAAUAGGAAAGCCUAACUGGUUGCUCUUAGCUGUACACAUUUGCAUUGACUCACUCUGGAAAGUUUUUGUCAAGAUGAGUAUCUACAUGCUAACUUUCACUACUUCUUAGGGUAUUACCCACUUACCAGGAGUAAAAAUACUUGCAAAACACUUUUAGGCAUGUUAAUUCAACUAGUAUCAACAAUAAAGUGCCACAUCCUCAUGUCUGAAGUGGAGUAUUAAUAAUAAAAAUAAUAAUGAGUAAACUGUUAGAGGGUUUUAGCAGGACUAGAAGGAAAACACAACAAUGAUUCACCUUUCAGCUAAUAAACUCUGAGUAUGCUGUUUCAGCUAAGCAGUUCUUCUUUAAAAGACACUAAAGUCAGUAUUCAAAUGAGAAAGCAACUUGAGAUACUGCACGUUUGUUUCCCCGUACCACAGCUGAGGUGGCGCAAGAGCAGGGCAGUGUUACCUGGCUCAGCUUUGCUCACAGGUCACAGCGAGGUGGGUGAGCAGCUGCUACAGACCGGAGCACAUGGCUGUGAUGGGAGGGAGCACUGCUGCCUUCAAGCUCCAUCAAGCACAUACACAAGCAUAUUGGUUGACUGUUUAAUGCAACACUAUUCACACUCCAAAGACAUGAAGACAGAGAUGAAGUUUUACACUCAUGAUGGCUUAACACAGCCCCAUUCUUUGACCUUGCCUUGAGCAUAGGCAGAAUCAUGCAGAGCAGUGCCUACAAGUAAAAUAGAAAGCUACUUGGAAAAAAUGAGAAGAUGAUGGUGGUAUCUGGCACAUGGCAAGACAUGUGAAAAUGAAAUAAAAACAUAACAGGAACCAAGAAAGAUCAACCAGCUGGAUGGCAGACCAGUAGCAGUUGUCUAGAAAUCAAAACAGGCUCAAACAAAACACCUAAGUCAUAAAUGUUUACUGUUGCCAACUUCAAAGCAUUCAAGCACAGAACGUAAGCCGAAGGGGAAAAGGCUGCAUUAAAGGGCAAGUCUGCAUCAAAGAAAGGAUUAGAAAAAAUUAAAUGCUUACUGUAAUGAUGCUGUUGUCUUAAGCCCUCAGUGAGUUCCCUAUAUAGUAGAGGGAUUUAUGAACUCCCUGGUGAACUUAGGCCCUUACUUUAAAGCUUUGUAAACAUUUAGAUAAUUGUCACCAUCUGCCUGCAUGGUAGCUGCAUUUUGCAAUGUGAACACUAUGAUGAGGAGUUUUAUGAUUUGAGGAAAAGGACAGUGAAUGAGGAGCACAACGGUGAAUUUUCUGACUCUUCUGCAGCUGGCUUGAGUCAUCUCUACAGAUAAUGAUGACAAAAUAUGAUGAUACAGCUAACACUACCUGAGACCUGUUUUGUUUUCCCAACAGAGGUACUAGUAGAAAACUGAAGUGUACUUCUAAUAGUCAAAAAUUACCAACCUGAAAAUCCAUGUUUGUAGAUUUUGUAUUUCUUACAAAAUACACUGCCAGCACUGUCAUAAGCCCUCAACAUUAAAAAGCUUAAACAUUUGAGGCUGCAAUUUUGCCAGCCCAAACUCUUCAAAGGGCAAAACAAACAAACAAACAAACAAACGAACAAAAAAAAAAUAUAUAUAAAAAAAAAUCAGUUGGAUCUAAAAAACACCCAACACAACCACUGUACAUUUAUCUCAUAGAAAAUGGUAAAGUUUUACUUGCCUUCAUUAAAAGCAUUUACAUUUCAAAUCUAAAUCAUCUGAUCAAUCAAGAGGACUAAAGUAACUUUAAAAAUGUGAGAUUUUCAUUUAAUUCAAUAUCUUACAAACUACCAUGGGACUCAUAACAUUAUGGAACUAUUUUUGAACUCUGCAUUUACAUUUGAAAAAUAUGAAAUACUUUAUUGCAUCAUUAAAACAAAACAAAAUAAAAUAAAAUAAUGAAUUGAAUUGAAUUGAAUUGAAUUGAAUUAUUUCCUUUCAGUAUUCUGUAGUUAUUCUAAGACACAGUGAUGAGUCCAGACAGCUUUGGCAAUAGUACUUCCCUAAUUUACCAAGUACAGAAUAACUGAAGCUCUUUGUCCUGUAAAACUGCAGAAAUUUGCAACACAGCAAAUCAGGUAAUUGGUUCAAACAUAGCAUGAAAGGAAAUGUAUAUGUCAAAGCACUGGGAAGAAGAGCAGAAGGGUUAAAAGAACAGCCUGGACUGAUAGCACAGAGUACCAUUUCUAAGA